GCUGUAGCUCAGUGGCAAAACAUCUGCCUGGCAUGCAGAAAGCCCCAGGUUCAUUCCCCAGCAUCUCUU